rnacentral:rRNA from 1 species
AGCAGUGGGGAAUCUUGCGCAAUGGGCGAAAGCCUGACGCAGCCAUGCCGCGUGAAUGAUGAAGGUCUUAGGAUUGUAAAAUUCUUUCACCGGGGACGAUAAUGACGGUACCCGGAGAAGAAGCCCCGGCUAACUUCGUGCCAGCAGCCGCGGUAAU